UAGUCUUUAGAAUAGAAAAAUUUGAUUUAUCUUAUCACUUUGUGUUUUGGAUAAAAUAUUGUUGAUAACAAGUUUGGUUGUACAAAAUUGCAAACCAUUUCGAAGGAUAUAGGAUAAUGACACUGAAUUUUUGGAUGUUUUUUCAAAGGCGCAAGAUUUUAUGAAGGAGAGAAAUCUACCUUUUGAUUUUGAAAGUUCUAGACUUCAAACAUUACAAUCCAAAAAGGAGAGCUUUAAAAUAGGUGUGUUUUAUGCUGCACUCGAUUUAAUUAUUAUGCAGUUUAAUGAAAGAUUUAAUGAUGAUUCAAUGAAAUUUUUACAUCAAACAUAAUUUUUUACGCCAAAGGGAAUGGCAGAAAAAUCAAUUAUUAAAGAAGAUAUCGAGGAUAUCUGUGAAUUUUACAAUUUAAAUUCAAGUCAAAUUUUCGAAGAAAUGUUGAAGUUUAGAAAUAUUUAUAAGAUGGCCAAAAUAGGGAAUGUAAUUAUUACUCAUGACCUAGAGGUUCAAGAAUCUAAAGAUUUGUCAGAUUCUGAGAAUUCUUCUUCUGAUGAUUAUGAUAAUUCAGGGACUUACGAUUCAGAUUGGAAAAACUAUUCAUUUAUUUUACCUUAUCGUUUACUUUAAAAUUUUUGCUUUCCCUAAUUUAAGAAUUUUAUAUAAAUAUUUAUUAACCAUUCCCACAACCUCAUGUACUGCCGAAAGAGUAAUGAGUAAAAUUAAAUUAAUUAAAACAAGACUGCGCAGUACCUUGAAAGAUUCUUUUCUCAAUAAUUUAACCAUAUUGAUAUUAUCAAUGGAAAUUUUUUUAUUUAAACAAUUAAAUACUGAUGAAAUUAUAAAUUCUUU